rnacentral:rRNA from 1 species
AUACGUAGGUGGCAAGCGUUGUCCGGAAUUAUUGGGCGUAAAGCGCGCGCAGGCGGUCUUUUAAGUCUGAUGUGAAAGCCCACGGCUCAACCGUGGAGGGUCAUUGGAAACUGGGAGACUUGAGUGCAGAAGAGAAGAGCGGAAUUCCACGUGUAGCGGUGAAAUGCGUAGAGAUGUGGAGGAACACCAGUGGCGAAGGCGGCUCUUUGGUCUGUAACUGACGCUGAGGCGCGAAAGCGUGGGGAGCAAACAGGAUUAGAUACCCUGGUAGUCCACGCCGUAAACGAUGAGUGCUAAGUGUUAGAGGGUUUCCGCCCUUUAGUGCUGCAGUAAACGCAUUAAGCACUCCGCCUGGGGAGUACGGCCGCAAGGCUGAA